CAAAUACACGCUGCCAACGAGUGACAACGGGAGCUACUGGACGCUAUUUUCAACCCUCAGCUUCGGUUCCACAGAGCAGGUUUGGUCAUUAAACCUUCAGUUGAUCUUUCUCUCCUUCCUGUCAUCUGUUCUCUCAGCAACCAUAUGA